UCUGGCCUGCCCACUGAAAUUUUAAAGGGCCGCAGUAUUUUGACUGUGCAAAGGUAGCAUAAUCAUUAGUCUUUUAAUUGAAGGCUGGUAUGAAUGGUUGGAUGAGGUGAAUUCUGUUUUAUAUAAAUUUUAAUUGAAUUUAGAUUUUAAGUAAAAAGACUUAAAUAUAAUUAAGGGACGAGAAGACCCUAUAGAGUUUAAUAAGUGAAAUAAUUAGUUGAGUUAAUUAAAAAUUUUUAAUUAUUAUUAAAUUUAUUUAGUUGGGGUGAUUAAAAGAUAAAAUAAAUUCUUUUUUGAUUUUAAUAAUAUAAUUAAUUAUAUGAUCCAUAAUUAAUGAUUAUAAGAUUAAAUUACCUUAGGGAUAACAGCAUAAUUUUUUUUGAGAGUUCAUAUCGAAAAAAAAGAUUGUGACCUCGAUGUUGGAUUAAGAUUAGUUUUAGGUGUAGGUGUUUAAUUACUAGGUCUGUUCGACCUUUAAAAUCUUACAUGAUCU
rnacentral:rRNA from 1 species